GUGGAUUAGAUACCCUGGUAGUCCACGCCGUAAACGAUGCUAACUCGUUUUUGGGUUUUUAAGAUUCAGAGACUAAGCGAAAGUGAUAAGUUAGCCACCUGGGGAGUACGAACGCAAGUUUGAAACUCAAAGGAAUUGACGGGGGCCCGCACAAGCGGUGGAUUAUGUGGUUUAAUUCGAUGAUACGCGAGGAACCUUACCAAGGCUUAAAUGGGAAUUGAUCGGUUUAGAAAUAGACCUUCCUUCGGGCAAUUUUCAAGGUGCUGCACGGUCGUCGCCAGCU
rnacentral:rRNA from 1 species